rnacentral:rRNA from 1 species
UACAGAGGUCUCGAGCGUUAGGCGGAAUCACUGGGCUUAAAGCGUGUGUAGGUGGAUGCCUAAGUACCUUGUGAAAUCCCACAGCUUAACUGUGGAACUGCUUGGUAUACUGGGUGUCUUGAGUCACUCAGGGGCGAGCGGAACAAAUGGUGGAGCGGUGAAAUGCGUAGAUAUCAGGAGGAACACCUGUGGCGAAAGCGGCUCACUGGACCAUAACUGACGCUGAUGCACGAAAGCUAGGGGAGCAAACAGG